GUGCUUGCUUUGGUAGCAUGUGUACUAAAAUUGGUAUGAUACAGAAAAGAUUAACAUGGCCCCUGGGCAAAGAUGACACACAAAUUCAUGAUGCAUUCCAUAUUUUU
ensembl:snRNA U6 U6 spliceosomal RNA